CGCGGGGAGGUGUAAGCGAAGGGGUGGGACGCGGGAGCUCCGCUUCCGGUGGCAGGGUCUGGGGAAGGGGCGGCAGGCGCCAUGUCCGGCCGCGAAGGUGGCAAGAAGAAGCCCCUGAAGCAGCCCAAGAAGCAGGCCAAGGAGAUGGACGAGGAAGAUAAGGCGUUCAAGCAGAAGCAGAAAGAAGAGCAAAAGAAACUCGAGGAGUUAAAAGCGAAGGCCGCGGGGAAGGGCCCCCUGGCCACAGGUGGAAUUAAGAAAUCUGGCAAAAAGUAAGCCGUUCCUUGUGCCUGGGGCAAUGGUGAUACUUAAUUCCAUUCCUGUUUUAACAUCCGGAUUCCCUGCCAUAACAUCUAUAGCUAGAUGAAGUUGUUUUGGAGACUGUUGUACAUUUGAGAAUAAACUUUUGUAAAAAAAAUAAUAAUAAUCAUGCAGUGGCUCAUCUCUUUAAUUCUUCUCAUCAGCCAUUUCAGCCUUAGCAGUGAGGUCAGAGUAAACCCAACCUGGAAUCCUGCCAAACUGUGUUCUUUAGUCUUUGUUCUAUCCUGAAUUCUGUACCGCCUGGAAUUAAACCAACCCAUUCGAAAUG